GAUGAAGAACGCAGCGAAAUGCGAUACUUGGUGUGAAUUGCAGAAUCCCGUGAACCAUCGAGUCUUUGAACGCAAGUUGCGCCCGAAGCCAUUAGGCCGAGGGCACGCCUGCCUGGGCGUCACACGUCGUUGCCCCCCCAUCUACUCCUUCGGGAUUGCGGGGGGCGGAUGAUGGCCUCCCGUGCGCCUCGUCGCGCGGUUGGCAUAAAUGCCAAGUCCUCGGCGACACACGCCACGACAAUCGGUGGUUGCGAAACCUCGGUUGCCCGUCGUGUGCGGUCGUCGCGCAUCGAGGGCUCGAAAAAAUUGCCGGGCUCCGGCUCGGCUUUCAACGCGACCCCAGGUCAGGCGGGGUUACCCGCUGAAUUUAAGCAUAUCAAUAAGCGGGGA
rnacentral:misc_RNA from 1 species